ACUUAUUUUCUUGCCUAUUAAAACUUUUAAGAAAGUUGAAAAAAAGAUCUACCUUCUCUCAAAAUCUCAAAACAAAAAGAUAAAAAUGUAAUAAAUGACAUGAAAAUCCUAAACCAAUCUUAAAUCUUGCUAUCCAAAAAUUCCAACAAUCUCUUUAUAAAUUUGCAUAGAUCUUUAUUAUCAUAGAUUUUUUUCUUUCAUAAAAAGACUUAUUAAAAAUCUAACAAUAAGAUCUAGUUUUUCUCAAAAUUUCAAAAUAAAAAGAUAAAAAUGCAGUAGAUGGCAUGGAAAAAUCCAAACUAGUCUUAAAUCUCAUCACUCCAAAAUUCUAGUGAUCUUCCUCCCAUAUGACAUUAGCCCAAGGAAAAUCCUUUGAUAUCAGAAAAU
rnacentral:lncRNA from 1 species